CAGUAGAGUGACCUCUGGUGCUGUUGUUGCGCAAAAAUUUGUAGCAGGCGAACCAACACAAACCAGCAGCAAAAUGGUCCCUCCAGUGGCAGUGUCACCGCUUAUUAAGACCGCAAGGUACUCAGCUUUGUUAGCUGGUAUAGUAUUUGGCAAGAGGAGAUAUGAUGAACUAAAGCCUAUUGCUGCAGAGGAAAGAAGGAUUGAGGAAGAGGAGAAGAAGGUUCGUGAAGAACAAGAGAAAAUUGCCAAGGCGCUAGCAGAAGCCAGUGAAGAGUCGAUUUUGAAAUGAGCUGGCACUGGGAGAAGUUACUGUGAAGCUCUUCACACUGCUCCUGUAUUUUUCCACUCUUAUUUUCCUGGAUAUACUUGGUCCAAAACUCUCCGGCACAGUUAUUUUACUGACGUGUGCAGUCUAACCGAUAAACCCUCACUUGGUCUGGAGACCAAAUAUAGUUUUUUGUAGUCAUUUACAUGACAUAUAAAAUAAUGGCUUGCUAUUUGGAUUUAACUGUAAUAUCACAAAUGCACUAUUGUAAGUCAAGUUUAAAUGUUUGUACCCUUGUUACACACCCUCAUGACAUUGUCAUACAUACUACUUGAUAAAUAAAUGGUAAAUAUUUAUUCUCUUUGAAUCA